GGUUACAGCCUUGCUGAAUUAUUCACCCUUGUCUUUUGCGUACUUCUUGUUUCCUUGGUGGGUUCGCCCACCACUAGGACAAACAUAAACCUUUUGUAAUUGCAAUCAGCGUCAGUAACAAAUUAAUAAUUACAACUUUCAACAACGGAUCUCUUGGUUCUGGCAUCGAUGAAGAACGCAGCGAAAUGCGAUAAGUAGUGUGAAUUGCAGAAUUCAGUGAAUCAUCGAAUCUUUGAACGCACAUUGCGCCCUUUGGUAUUCCAAAGGGCAUGCCUGUUCGAGCGUCAUUUGUACCCUCAAGCUUUGCUUGGUGUUGAGCGUCUUGUCUCUAGCUUUGCUGGAGACUCGCCUUAAAGUAAUUGGCAGCCGGCCUACUGGUUUCGGAGCGCAGCACAAGUCGCACUCUCUAUCAGCAAAGGUCUAGCAUCCAUUAAGCCUUUUUUUUCAACUUUUGACCUCGGAUCAGGUAGGGAUACCCGCUGAACUUAAGCAUAUCA
rnacentral:rRNA from 1 species